CAGCUUCUGGAGUUUCACAAACGUCGCUGGUAAUAUCACUGCAAUUACUCUGUCAAUAAUGUUCCUCUUUGAGCAACUCAGGGUUGGAUCCUGGGCAUUUAUGUUCAGUACUGCUGGGAAAAGGUUGAGACUGUUUGGAGACCUUUGCCCCACAUUUCUGGCAUCUUCUGCCUGAAUGGACAGUCUGUCUGCACACUGGACCAUGUUGUGGCUGUUUCACGGUGUGUGCAGAUGUGAAAACUCUUUCAACAGGAGCUCAGGGGGGAGAACAGGGUAAGUAUACACUGGGUUUUUAUGUCAUGUUUAAAGAAAAAGAAGUGUAAAAAUCAAAAGGAAUGACACACACAAUGAUUUUCUUUGAUCAGUGACAUUUAAAAGCCGAACCACUGAGCGUAAAAUCUGUAUAUUUCUAAAUAUAUUAUCUAAAACUAAUCUCUUCCUAUUGUUUCCAGCUUAGCUGGUGAUUCAAGGGCAGCACUUACAGCAAAAUGCAGAGCAGGGAAAAUUGAAUAUGACUGAUCCAAAUUCACAUGCUUUGCUAAAAGCUGCAAUGUUCAGUUUGAAGUCAGCUGGAAGGACAUGCUUUGUAUCUGCUGGCUUACUGUUAAUUUACUCUGGCUGAGACCUGCAGCUCUAAAGACACCACUCCUGGUAAUCCCUGCCGCCCUGUACUCGAACAGCUGAUGUGUCAUCUAAUCUACUGAAGUAGUACAGCCUGGUAAUUGGUUUGGAGGUUAGCUUUAAUUCGCAGCACCCUGUCAGGUCACUGAAUGAAGUACAAGGAGUUAUUUAUUAUUUAUUUUCUCUCUUAAAUAAGCAAAAUUUGAGUUUAAAUUAAAUUUUAGUUUCAUUAUGACCCAACAUGAACAUUCAUAUUUCAGUUUCACUUACUUUGCAGCAACUACACCGCCACUAAAUCCUAAAUACUGGACCUUUAAACUCACUUUUAAUCUUCUUCUCUGUCAUCCUGUGGAAGGUUUUUCCUCAAUGAGCCAAUGCUGUACAUUUGGUUAAUACCCUUUUGUAAGCAAAAGGGUAUUAACCAAAUACAAAUGUCUACAUUAGUCAGGGAUAAUUCCAAAUUCUGCAAUCUUGGAACUGGGGCAGGAAAAUCUAAAAAAAAAAUGUACAAACAUUAAUCUGUCUAUUUUUAUCAUUCUGUCCUGUUAUCUGUUGAUAAUUCUCUACUUAUCUCUCCAAGUAUUUGUCCACGUAUCAACAUUGUUUUCCACGUUUCAUCCUCGGUGCUUUCUCUCAGCUCUGGUUCCAAUUUAUUUUUUAAAGUGAAAAGUACUCGAAGACAAAUAAAACUAACACAGAUUCUGUACAGCGUUUAUUCAUGAGCACACAGGGAUCCCAUCAUAAUACACAGAGUGAAUCAACAUCCGUCGAACGCAUCAAUACGAAGCCACAAGCAAAGACUGUGCAGCAUGAACCACUUACAGUGAGUACAGUGAACAUAAGUGACGUUUGACAUUCUAGCAGGUUGAGUUGGCAAAUUAUGGAUAUACUUGUGGCGUUUACACUGCUAAUGGUUUGUCAGUUUGAACAUUUAUUAUGUUUUUUUUUAAUGUCUGUAUAUAUUUUAACAUUAAUUUUUCUUUUUUCUUAAAAAAAGGAAACAAAUACUUUAGAAAAAAGAAACAGAACAACAAACAGUUAACAUGAGGAAAGUCAUAAAAAUAAGAGACAACGUUACCAGAAGAGAUUAUACAGUAUGGCUUAUUUGAAGCACAACAUGUAACCGUGAUCCUAAUCCGCCUGGACACUAAGUGCUCUAUUUGAACUCUCCCUGAUCAAAAAGCCUUCAUGACCUCAGAGGUCAGGGGCCGCUUCACCAUCAAUAAGCCGGACGUUCAUGUUGCAGCCCAGCAGCAGGGUGAGCCACGACCCCAUCACACCCCAAUCCCUCAAAUACUGUCUGAGCUCGUCCUGUUUAACUGAAGUCUACCCUGUAAGUCUGAGUUAAAGUGAGUCUUGUGCAUCUGUAUGUGUGUGUGUCUUUGUGUGUUUGUGUGUGUGUGUUUGUCAGGAAGCUUCAUAGGCACUCUUUCCAAAAAAAAAUAAAAAAGUCCCACCGACUGUGUGGACCUAGCAGACCGUUUACGGGUCCGUCCAUGGGAUUUAACCACUUCUCUUUCUCAGCACCGGGUUAAGGACCUGCUGACACAAAACAGCCGCAUGCUGAGUCAGCACAGCAACACUGACCUGCAGAGGGCAGAAACAUAGACAGGGAAUGCUGCACCAAAGCUAACACGCUUUGACUCGUAACGGCGCCGGAUAUUAACGACCUCGCGUACAGCAUUCGACAAAUUAAGCGCAGGGGGUUUUGACUGGUAUGAGUUGUCAAAAUAAAAUUCACUCGUCAAUUUUGCUUGUUUUCACUGUCAAACAUUCGAUGUUUGCUGCCCUCAUUAUUACCAAGAGGCAAAUCCAGUCACAGCAAGUCAGAAAUGAAGUGUCACUGCUUCUGCACACUGAUAUUCAGUUUUAUUUAUGUAGUGCCAAAUCAUAACAGAGGUUAACUCAAGACACUUUCCACAUAGAGCAGGUCUAGACCGUACUCUUUAUAAUAUUAUUUACCGAGAAUAAGCAAUUCCCACCAUGAGCGAGCACCUGACAGGAAAACGUUUUUUUGAAGAGGCAGAAAUCUCGAGCAGAACCUGGCUCAUGGUGGGCAACCAUAUGCACAGCCAAGAAAAUUAAUAACUACUAAUUGGCAUAAACAAGCAGAAUUGAUUUCGUUUCUUGGUAAAUUAGAAAAUUGUCAUGUGCCAACCAAGAUUUGGUCCAUGGACCUGAAGAGUAUCGCUGGUAAUCAUGUCUUAUAAAUGUAAAAUGUAUUAAAUGUUUAUGUACUUAAACUGUUGCCAUUCAUGAUUUCUAUAUCAAAUCUUCAAGUAUGAAUUUUAUUUGUGUGGAAUCAGGUCGGACACAUAAAGAUCUGACUUUACUUGUGUGGAUUUGAUUAUUAAAUGCAAAUACU